rnacentral:tRNA from 1 species
UCCCUGGCAGUCCAGUGGUUAAGACACUGCACUCCCAAUGCAGAGGGCACCAGUUUGAUCCCUGGUUGGGGAA